rnacentral:rRNA from 1 species
AUUGAACGCUGGCGGCAGGCCUAACACAUGCAAGUCGAACGAGUGGCGGACGGGUGAGUAAUGUCUGGGAAACUGCCUGAUGGAGCGGGAUAACUACUGGAAACGGUAGCUAAUACCGCAUACCAUCAUAUGUUCCCAGAUGGGAUUCGCUAGUAGGUGUGGUAACGGCUCACCUAGGCGACGAUCCCUAGCUGGUCUGAGAGGAUUAUCAGCCACACUGGAACUGAGACACGGUCCAGAGGCCUACGGGAGGCAGCAGUGGGGAAUAUUGCACAAUGGGCGAAAGCUUGAUGCAGCCAUGCCGCGUGUAUGAAGAAGGCCUUCGGGUUGUAAAGUACUUUCAGCGGGGAGGCGUUACCCGCAGAAGAAGCACCGGCUAACUCCGUGCCAGCCGCCGCGGUAAUAC